CAUAAACUUAUUUACAUCCGUAGUUAUAAUUUAUUUUGUGCGUUUGGAAAAUUUGCUACGGGUGAGUGCUCUUAAUUCUUUUCAAUUUGUUGAGAUUAACCUUUUUCAAAUUAGAUUUUAUCAAAACGGUCCAUGGUUUAUGGUAGAUCAUAGAUUACACACGAUCUAAAGACGGAUUUCCAACUAUCCCGUUUACGUGUACGGAAUGCUCUGUGAUUGGUUGUAACAUUUCGAUACUGUUAACUUACUGCUACCAGGAUACCGCAGAGUUGAAUUCGAGUCAACUUUUCGACGUGUGAUUACUAAAGUUUACUGAUAAACAUAUUAUUAUUUUGUGAAUUGUUAUAGUAUAAUUAGAUCAUACACGGUGAGCGAAGCAUCAUUUGAAUAUGCAUGUACAUGGGAUAGCUGAGAAUCCUCUUCAAGGGUUUAUGGCACAGAUAUAUGCAAUAUAUUAUUGUAUAUAUCUGUGGUUUAGAGUAAUAGCGUUAUUUGAACUUAGUUUAUGUAGUAGGUAUCAAUAGCUACACAUCUGUGGUAAUGGUAACACUCUAGACCAUAUACUAAGAGAAUCGUGCAGUAUUUUUGACUUUAAUAAUAAUGGGCUAUCAUCAAAUUAUUAUUAAAGUUUAGUUAAAAUAUGUAAGUGUAAACAAUUGUUAUAAAAAUAAAAUAAAUUAUUGUUGUUAAUUGUUGAGUAUUUUUUUUUUAAUUUUUGGUCUUGCCCCUCCCCAUUUCAAAAAUUCUGGCUACGCCACUUUAUAUUACAAAUUUUGUUAA